rnacentral:rRNA from 1 species
GUCGGUCUUAUCACAUUGAAAAUACCGGUUUUCCUCCGAUCACCGACGAUAAGCAACGUCGAGCCUAGUUAGAAUUUAGAUGGGUGAGGGCUUGGGAAACCUAGACACUGUAAACA